GAUGAACGCUGGCGGCGUGCUUAACACAUGCAAGUCGAACGAACAGCGAUGGAGGCUUGCUUCUAUCAAUUUUAGUCGCGCACGGGUGAGUAACGCGUAAUCCACCUGUCUUUCACAGGGGGACAACAGUUGGAAACGACUGCUUAUACCGCAAACGAUCCAAUCUCGGCAUUGGGACGUGAUGAAAGGUUGCCUCUAUUUAUAAGCUAUCAUUGAAGCAGGGUAUUGCGUCUGGUUAGGUAAUUGGGUGGGUAAGGGCCCACCAAGGGGAUGAUCAGUAGGCGGACCGGGAGGAGGGACCGCCACAUUGGGACUGGGACCAGGCCCAGACUCCCACGGGAGGCAGCAGGUGGGAAUCUUCCGCAAUGGAGGGAAGUCUGGCGGAGGCACGCCGCGGGAGGGAAGACGGCCUUCGGGUUGUAAAGCUCUGUUAAUCGGGACGAAUGGUUCUUGUGCGAAUAGUGCGAGGAUUUGACGGUACCGGAACAGAAAGCCACGGCUAACUACGUG
rnacentral:rRNA from 1 species